rnacentral:rRNA from 1 species
UACGUAGGGGGCAAGCGUUGUCCGGAUUCAUUGGGCGUAAAGAGCGUGUAGGCGGCCAGGUAGGUCGGUUGUGAAAACUGGAGGCUCAACCUCGAGACGUCGGCGGAAACCAUCUGGCUAGAGUCCGGAAGAGGAGAGUGGAAUUCCUGGUGUAGCGGUGAAAUGCGCAGAUAUCAGGAAGAACACCCGUGGCGAAGGCGGUUCUCUGGGACGGUACUGACGCUGAGACGCGAAAGCGUGGGGAGCGAACAGG